CAGGCAGGCGGUUUGUUAAGUCUUCUGUGAAACUCCGGGGCUCAACUCCGGACUUGCAGAAGAUACUGGCAGACUAGAGAGUGGUAGAGGCAAGCGGAAUUCCUGGUGUAGCGGUGGAAUGCGUAGAUAUCAGGAAGAACACCUGUGGCGAAGGCGGCUUGCUGGGCCAUCUCUGACGCUCAUCUGCGAAAGCGUGGGGAGCAAACA
rnacentral:rRNA from 1 species